rnacentral:sRNA from 1 species
GCCACUGUCAUUGGGGAGUAGCCAUCCUUUGUAUCCCCAAAGGAGUCAGCGUCAACAAACUUGGUGGUUCAUCCCCAUGGCGCUGGCAGCCUUGCGGUGCCGUGUCGCGGCAGCCGCCAAGCGCC